ACUGGGUAUUAACACACUGGUUUCUUCCCUCUGACACGAUUUUACGACCCGAAGGCCUUCAUCUUCCACCCGGCGUCCCUGCGUCAGGGUUGCCCCCAUUGCGCAAUAUUCCCCACUGCUGCCUCCCGUAGG
rnacentral:rRNA from 1 species